UAUUCUUUUAAGAAGCUGGAAGUGAGAGGUUUGUUUUAUAAGGAUAAAUCAAAUCGGUCGAUCUUUCUUCUUGCUGCUUAUUUGCUGCAUCUGUUCAUUUUUUAACCUUGUUUACAAGUGAUCCAUUUGUUCUCCUUCCAGUUUUUGGCUACCGGCCAAAUUCCAGAGGGACUUCUUACUGUAUUCAACGAUGUGGAGACCCAAAAACUGAGAUUUACAGACUUUGCAGAUCUCAACGAGGCCUUGGCGGCUAUACCUUACAAGAAGCUCCUCUAAUUUACAGAAAAUCCAGAUCAAUCUUCUGUUGCAGAACCUUUUUGGGCUUCCCCAAAGCUCAAGGCCCUUUCAAUUUAGCUUCUGCAAUCAAUAAGUGGGAGCCAGUUCUAAUUUUCUGGUUCGGCAUCUUCUUCCCUUCAUCAUCACCUGAAUCCGCAUCGGUGAAAUUGGCAGGCAGCUGAGAAGGCCCAAUCUUCAUCUGCAGCAGAACUCAGAUGUUGAUGGGACGCCGAGGAGGUCCAAUCAUGAUUUCAUCCUCCUUCCGACCUUCAUCAUCUUCAACCAUGGAUCUGAGUAUUAUUUUGGAUUCGACAUUUCCAUUACUGGAAUCAUGCUCCAUUGAUUUAGCCUUUGGCAUUGUAGAGAUUGUCAGAGCUUUCACCCUCAAGAAUAUGGAUUCCAAGUAGUGUAUAAUGAAAUUAUCCACAUUCCUUUCUUUCAUUUUUCAAUUUUUUCGGGGUUUCUUUCCGAUUUGGAGUACAAAACACAUCUCAGUGAAGAUCUACACUAGAUUUGGAGGUUGAUUGAGAGUUUUGGAGUAAUCUUCAAACUCAUAUAUUCCCAUAACUGAGUUCAAGGUUUCCUCCUCUUUCCUUCUGAUUUUUAUUUAUUUUGUAAAGGAUUAAAAAAUUCUUCAAUUUACAGAAAUGAAAACAACUUU